rnacentral:misc_RNA from 1 species
AAGUCGUAACAAGGUUUCUUGUCGCAUUUGCCUUCGACCGCCACGUCGGUAACUCAUCACCGACAGCGCAUUGAUUCGGCGUGGUAGGGAAGGUGAUAACAAAUAAUAUAAUAAGGGUGCGGCAUGUAGGGGAGAAGGAAAGGCAUGUUACCGGUGAUGUGGUGGCUUCUCCAUCACUACUACACCGUUUGUGUAACAUGGUAGCUCUCGACUGAACACCGACUGAGGGCAGACUAGAGAUCUGGACGCCACUUUGGAACUACGCCAAGGUGGAGCACGUCCCCUCCUGUAUAUACCCCAACCAAACGUAAGUAGUCCCAGGAUGCACCGGGCGCGGUGAUUAAGUUGGCGAAAGGUCCCAAGUGGGACUGGACGCACUCCUGGUUUCAGACGUUAAAUUACCGUACAACUGUUAGCAAUGGAUAUCUAGGUUUCCG